UUCUCGUUCAUUGAGGAUUUCGGCGCGGACGCGGUGGCACUGGCAGAGUAGAUUUGGAAGGCGAGCGAGCGGGAGUCUCUGGAAGCUUCGAUUGAAGCUACUUUUGAAGGUAUCAGAUCUCUUGGAACUAAUUCUCAUGUCGUUCCAAGUCAUUGCGGUGAGAAUUUCUUCCUAAUUUGUUCUUGUUUAGUUCGGGACUUAAAUUUUCUCACUCACUUCCAUUCAGAAUUUGUUCAGACAAUCUCCGUGUUUGUGAGAGAGGUGAAUUGAAUUUGAUAUCUCUAUUAACUCUAAUUUGUGUCUAGUUCAGCUUCAU